GAUGAACACUGGCGGCGUGCCUAAUACAUGCAAGUCGAGCGAACGGACGAGAAGCUUGCUUCUCUGAUGUUAGCGGCGGACGGGUGAGUAACACGUGGAUAACCUACCUAUAAGACUGGGAUAACUUCGGGAAACCGUAGCUAAUACCGGAUAAUAUUUUGAACCGCAUGGUUCAAAAGUGAAAGACAGUCUUGCUGUCACUUAUAGAUGGAUCCGCGCUGCAUUAGCUAGUUGGUAAGGUAACGGCUUACCAAGGCAACGAUGCAUAGCCGACCUGAGAGGGUGAUCGGCCACACUGGAACUGAGACACGGUCCAGACUCCUACGGGAGGCAGCAGUAGGGAAUCUUCCGCAAUGGGCGAAAGCCUGACGGAGCAACGCCGCGUGAGUGAUGAAGGUCUUCGGAUCGUAAAACUCUGUUAUUAGGGAAGAACAUAUGUGUAAGUAACUGUGCACAUCUUGACGGUACCUAAUCAGAAAGCCACGGCUAACUACGUG
rnacentral:rRNA from 1 species